rnacentral:tRNA from 1 species
GCUCCGUUAGCUCAGCUGGAUAGAGCGUUGGACUACGAAUCCAAAGGCCGGGGGUUCGAAUCCCUCACGGAGCG